GUGUUAUUCAUAGGCAUUUGUCCAGAAUCUAUGUAGUGAAGAGAGGAAAGGAAGAGAGAGACGUAAGAAAAUGGAAAAAGCUUGGCAGAGAUCUUAUGAUGUUUGUCUCAGUUCUUAUGUAACAAUGAGAUGGGGGGAGAUUGUGCUUUUUUUUGUUUCAUUCUUGCAAGUAAAGGUGAAAGUAGGGAAGCCUUUCCUUGAGCCGGAUGUCACGGCUCCAGACAGCUGCUCAGACUAUCUCCAGGUGACUGAACAGUGAGAAAGCUGCCUAUGGAGCCAAAGAGGGGAUGUGGCAAGGGCAUUUGCAUCAAUCCCAGAAGUCUCUUAUGCAAAUAAAGGCUCGUGUUUGCAUAAACUGAGGAACAAUUCAUCAUGCAAAGAAGUAUACAUAUUUAUGCCAAUUACAGGAUUUCCACUGGGCCACCAGGGGAAGAGCUCUCCUUGGGUGAUGGAAAAAAAGGGGGACACAUCCAACUUACCCUUUUCAUUACAUUUAUUUGCAUGUUUGUGUGAGCUUCUGUGUAAGUGCACGUAGGAGCACAGAGGUUUGGCCAUCAGAGGACAACUUGUGGGAGUUGGUUCUCUCCUUGGACCAUGUGGGCCCUGAGGAUCGAACUCAGUUUGUCAGACUCGAAAGCCAGCAUCUUUUCCUUCUCUGAGGCAUCUUACCCUGCUGGCAACCAAUUUAAAAUAUAAUGGGGACUCUUCAUGUGUCAGAGCCCUGUGCAACACUGAAGGGAUAUGUGCGUGAAAGGAGGAGGAGUGCCACUGGGCUCUACAGCUCCAGGACCUUCUGGGGGCUGAUGUGCCAAGUGUCUCCAACGACUUUACUUUGGGGGCAGGGACGGGGGGGCGACUUCAUGAGAGUGGCAGAUAAAUGGCUAUGGAAUUGAGUAAAGAGCAUAAAAGCAUGCAAUUCACAGUUGAAAUAAUGCAAUUCCUAGGAAAUGAGAUGUAAGAGAAUAUGUAAAAUGGAAGGACCCCAGCGCACGCGCAGCAGCAAGAGGCCCGCCCAGUAAGAUUAGAUUCGCGGACAGGAAAAUGAAAUGUUUUCCCCGGCGAAAGAGUGGAGCUUUGGGAGAUCGUGGAGAGACAACCUAAAGUAACGUUUCUUGUUUAAGAAAACAAGAAAAAACAGCUCAUAAGCAGCCCAUUUGGGAGAUUUCUGUGGUUUCCUGGCGUUGACCUCGUCCCACCCGCUCCACCUGCCCUAUACUCUAAAAGCCGCGCUGUUCCCAUGGGAGAUAAGUUACAGGCGCCCGAGGCUGUUUGCCGUAACCAGCUUCGCCCUCUCCCUGUUUUCUCACCCAGAUCUCUACUCCUACAGCUCUUCCUUGCCCUUUCCCCAAAUUUCUCCAGUAGAGUGCAAGCUAGCUUGUCCUGUCCCUGAUCUAUUAAGACCCUGGACUGUCUCAAUCAAAUGCUCAACUCCCACAAAAACCAUUGCAGAGGAGACGAUCACCGGCUUCCCACGUGCAAUCCUCAGCUCGCAGUGACCUCUGAGAACAGCAUUUCCUUUUUUUUUUUUUUUCAGCUUGAACAGGCAUCGUAAGACUCUGACAUGUAUAUGUAUAAGGGGAUCUUCUUGUCCAUUGUUCUUUGGGGGGCGGGUAUAGUAUUCAAUUCGGGGAAGAAUUACUUUCAGUAAGAGAAGAAUUAUUUGGUUUCCUCUAGAUUGGCACUUGAGUAUUCUGAGGAGUGUGGCAACAUCCUCUCCACCCCAGUGUUGGUAUUUUCCUCUAUUAUAAAUUGUUCUAUUCCCAUAAAGGGAAGAAAGGAAGGGGAAGGGUUAUAGGAGAAGGCAUGGCAAGUUUUAUUAAUUGAAUUAGGAGUAACUUACCUCUAAAGGCAUGGUAGUUCUAUAGAGUACACACUGUAAAAGUCAAGCAGGUUUGUUGGAGCACACUUUGUUUUGUGUAUGUUUUCACGUGUAUGUGCGUGAGUGUACGUGCAUUUGGUGACUACAGGUCAUUGUCUGGCCUGCCCCUCAAUUGCUCUAUACCUCCCCCCUGCUUGUUAUUUGAGAUGGUUUCUUAUUGGCUAUAGAAGUUAAAGAUAUCUGAACAGGCUGGCCAGAAUUCUGCACAAGGAAUCCCCCUGACGUCACCUGCCCGUGCUCGGACCAUCACACAGCUGUGCCUGCUUUUUACAUGGGUGUGUGGUAUUGCUUGAACAGCAAGUACUUAACCAAAUGAGCCUUCACCCAGCCCCUCCAACUCCUUUUCUUUUCUUUGUUUGUUCAAAAGUAAUACUUUUUCUUUUCAUUAAAUAUUUUUUUAAAUUCUUCUCUUAUACAAUGCAUCUUGACUGUAGUUUCCCCUCCCUCUACUCCUCCCAGUCCUCUCCCACCCUGCCCUGUUCCCCACAUCCAGGGCUCCUCCAUUUUUCCCCUUUAGAGAAGAGCAGGCUUCCCCGGGAUAUCAGCUGAGCAUGGUAGAACAAGAAAUAAUAAGACUCAGCGCAAGCCCUCAUAUCAAUGAGGGACAAGGCACCCCAGUAGGAAGAAAAGGGUCCCAAGGGCAGGCUUAAGAGUCAGAUACGCCCAUCACUCCCGCUGUUAGGAGUCCAGCAAAAACCCUAAGCUACACAACCAUAAGGUAUGUGCAGAGAACCUAACGCAGACCAGUGCGGGGUCGUGGUUGUUAUUUCAGUCUCUGUGAGCCCCUAUGAGCUCUGCUUAGUUAAUUUGCGAGCCAUGUUCUCAUGGCAUCCUCAACUCCUCUGGCUCCUACAGUCCUCUCCAGGGGGGGGCACCCCCUCCACCACCCCACCCCACCCCUGCUUCUGUUAGUGAAUGUUUGACGGUGGUUCUCUUCAUCUGCUCCCAUCAGCUGCCAGAGGAAGCCUCUCUGAUGAUGACUGGGUGAGGCAUUGAUGUAGGAGUAUAAGAGAAUACCAUUAGGAAUCAUUUCAUGGAAUUUUUUCCUUGUUAGCUGUAUUUGGUUCUAUCCUAGGUCUCUGAGCCAUCAGCCUCUAGUUCCUGGUCUUCCAGGCAUGGGCUUCCUCUUGCGGUGGGGGCCUCAAGUUGGACCAGCCAUUGGUUGAGUACUCCCAUAAGUUCUGCAUCGCCAUUACCCUAGCACAGCUUGUAGGCUGGACAAAUUGGAGGUUGAAGGUUUUGUGGCAGGGUUGGUGUCCCAGUGCCACCACUGCAGGCCUUACCUGGUUACAGGAGAUGGUGUCUGAAUCCUCUAGCGCUUGGAGUCCUCACUAGGGUCACCCUCAUAGAUUUCAGGGAAUUUCCACUGGGCUAGGUUUCCACACCGCCCCCAAACUCCUAAAUUCCAGAUGUGCACCUCUGCCACACUCCCUCCCUUCUUGCUCCCCCUCCCCCGUUCCCAUCCCCAUCUGCCCCAGUCCACGCAUCCCCUCCUGAGCCCCGCUUGUUACUGCCUCUCUGUAAGUGAACUGCAGUGCGAGUGUCCUUUACUUAACAGCCAAUGUCCAUAUAUGAGCGAGUACACACCGUGUUUGUCUUUCUGGGUCUGGGAAAGUUCAUGAUGUCAUUUUUUCUUUAAACUGUUGAGUAAUACUCCAUUGUGUAAAUGACUGCAUUUUUAUCUCUUCUUCAGUUCCUAGCUAAUAUGAAUAAAGCUGUCACAAACGGG